rnacentral:rRNA from 1 species
CCUACGGGAGGCAGCAGUGAGGAAUAUUGGUCAAUGGACGAAAGGCUGAACCAGCCAAGUCGCGUGAAGGAUGACUGCGCUAUGGGUUGUAAACUUCUUUUGUCAAGGAAUAAAACGAGGCACGUGUGCCUUUUUGCAUGUACUUGAUGAAUAAGGAUCGGCUAACUCCGUGCCAGCAGCCGCGGUAAUACGGAGGAUCCGAGCGUUAUCCGGAUUUAUUGGGUUUAAAGGGAGCGUAGAUGGGUUGUUAAGUCAGUUGUGAAAGUUUGCGGCUCAACCGUAAAAUUGCAAUUGAUACUGGCAGUCUUGAGUAGAGUUGAGGUAGGCGGAAUGCGCGGUGUAGCGGUGAAAUGCUUAGAUAUCACGAAGAACCCCGAUUGCGAAGGCAGCUUACUAACCUGUGACUGACAUUGAUGCUCGAAAGUGUGGGUAUCAAACAGGAUUAGAUACCCUUGUAGUC